UAACACAAUAAUGUUAGAUAAUUAACCAUCUAAUAUAUAAGCGAGCACUUAAGCUUCUCAUUGAGGUAAGAGAAGGCGAAAGAGCAAAGCAUAAGCUUGCCGACUUAUAGUCUAAUAGGAAUGUACGUAUGAGAAUCAGAAAAGGGAAGCAGGCCCAAUCUAACAAAAGGAAUGUAAAUGUUAGAAGCACGUACUCACAAUGAUUGAGAAACAUAAUUUAAUGGCUCAGAAAAUAAAGAGUUAUUUAUCUUUCUUCUAUCAAACUUUUCUUAGUGCCGAAUGCUGUGUCACUGUACCUACAAGAAAAGAAAUGAUGUAAGCCCUAGAGCCUAUCAGUGGGUGCCGAGGGGAGAAUAUUGUUCUAAUGCUCAAGUCAAAAUUGUGUAUGAGAAUGACAGCCAAAAGAAAUAAGUUAUGAGCCAAGGGUAAAGAGUCCCCCUUUACCUGGUUGGAGCUUCCCCUUUAUAGCAUGUUCCAUGCAUGUAACCAUUUGAACUUGUAUCUCGGCCUAAUCGUAUCGUAGGAUUACCCCCACAAUGGCCUAGGUAUCGGAAUUCUUCUUCCAUUGAAUUGGGAAUGCAUGUGAUAUUGUGGGGAUUGGAUUUUAUUAUGUUGCUAUUGGAGGGGAUUCUGUACUACGCGUGAAUUAAUAGAAUUGGGUCUUUGGAGCCACUAAUGGGCUUUGAGCUUGCUUUGGUGGGCUAGGCAACCUUGUCGGCCUAAUUUCCAAUAGUUACCCCUCAAAUUCCCUUAUCCAAUGUAGUAUUGAGUAAUGAUACAUAUCAUCCAUUUGUCCUCCUUUUGUCCCCCUAAAAUUGAUGUGGCUCUUAAAAUCACCGUUGGAUCAAAAUCCAAUAAUGAUUUAUCAUAAAUUCAAUGGUCAUUUUAAGAGUCACAUUAAUUUUAGGACGAUAAAAGGAAGACAAUGGGAUGAUAUGUAACAUUCCUCCUAUGGUGCCAACCCUUGAUAUUUGGACGUUACCCUUCUUAAAUGCAUCGAUUCGGUUGGCAAGAUUUUAAGAUUUUGGCAUGCGUUGUCUUUUGAAUUUCAGACUAUCGGUUACAUGCUCCCUCGAAACUUCUUUUCAAAACAUACCAUCUUUGUUAGUUUUGUCUUUUCAUUUAUGCGAUGUGCUUUUUCUUCUUUGUUUCCUUCUUGUCAUCGCUGCAUAUCUCUUUAUCUGUAUCUCUGGCUCAUCCCGGCUAUUAGCUGCAUAAUUUCCAUUACUUUUAUUUUUUUCGCAUUGUGCUUUUUUGGACCUCUGUCAAUCAAAUUCCCGCAUUUGAGUAUUUCACCGGUUUAUAUUCUCCGAUGACUACCAUUUUAAAUCUGGUACUCCCCUUUUAAUGAACUAGCAGUCCUAAAUCUUCAUUUAAGCAUUGCUUACCUGAUGGGUUGCAUCGAAUCUUAACGUUUAGAUCUUACCGUGGGUUUAGCAACCCCCCAACCGUCGAUACUCACAAAGAAGGAUAUCGUUAGAUUAUGAGAGAAAUACUCCAUCCCUAAGUUUGUGGUAAUCUGCAGCAUCCGCCCCUCUAAUAUCAACGAAGGAGCUCUAGUGGAUGACAAACAUUACGAGAAUUGAUGCCCCUGUUAUGAGUGACGAGGAACAGUCUCGGAUUACUACAAUAACUGUGUGGGCUAAGGACAAUGAACCGAUGAACAAUCUGAUUUCCUUGCCUCUGGCAAGAAUUUAGAUUGGGUCUAAGUCACCUUGAAGCAGUAGUGCGCUAUGUCGGUUUUCUCCAAUUGCCUCUAUUUGUCCUUGGUUUGGCUCUGUUGUUAGUACUGAUGUCCAAAACUCCAAUUGGUUGGAUGAUGCUUUCCUAUAAUUGUAUAAUAUUGAACAUUGGAUAUCUACAUUAAUGUUUUACAUGUACAUAUAUAUUUGAAUAUUUUCAUAUUAUAUACAUGUAAGGUCCCUAAGUUAUAUUGUAUUUAACUAUGGUGAGAGUAAAUGAAUUAUGACACAGAAGAUCAUAGUCAUAAGCACUUGUAACUCAUAAAAGAUUAUUCGUAAUUGUAAAUGGAAUUGAAAAAUUCAUCUA